rnacentral:rRNA from 1 species
CACGUAGGAGGCAAACGUUAUCCGGAUUUACUGGGCGUAAAGCGCGUGUAGGUGGUUCUGUAAGUAGGGCGUGAAAGCUCCCGGCUCAACUGGGAGAGGCCGUUCUAAACUGCAGAGCUAGAGGAUGGUAGAGGGAGGUGGAAUUCCAGGUGUAGCGGUGGAAUGCGCAGAUAUCUGGAGGAACACCAGUGGCGAAGGCGGCCUCCUGGACCAUUCCUGACACUCAGACGCGAAAGCUAGGGUAGCAAACGGGAUUAGAUACCCGGGUAGUCCCU